UCCAUAUUAAAUCCCUGUACAGCCAGCAGGAAAUUCCAAUCAAAUAUACUAAGGACAUCAUUACAUGUCAAAAAUUAUAUAUUCUGGAUACUUUAGGUAAAUAAACACAUGUUUAAAUAUGUAAUAGCAAUAAUGCAUUUCUUAUUAUCCUGUACUGAAAUAUUAUGGAUAAUUAAACACCCAUCGGAAUUUCACAAGGAAGACAUUUCAUCUUCU